GGUUGACAUUUAUUCAUGAACAGAUGGCGCUGUAAUAAGCAGUAUAUAAAAAGUGUUUCUGUUGCGCAUGAAAAUUUUUCAUAUUGCACUUUGAUAGAGUAUGCAAACACUGCGAGAGCGUCACUGCCGGAAGCGGUGGCAGGCUAAACUCGAACAAGCCUAGUAUCUUUAUACAUGGGAGAGCAAAUUCGAUUGACAGGCGGCAUAAUGGCAUGCCCCUGCCCUAUUCACUCUUACCACGCGUGGACUAAACGUCUGGGCUGAUGAGCUCUUGAUGGUGGCUCUUUUGUACACUCCAGCUCAUCUGCAAAAGUCAAUUAAAAUCCUGUAAUGUUGAUACCGCCAGCGCGUGCCCCUCUCAGCUGCAAACGUAUCUCUGCACCUCGCGCUCUGAGGUCGCGUGACAUUGCGCAACAGGUCAGGUGAUUGAAUGGCUGUGAGCUCGAGCUGCUAAGAAAUCGGGCUUAAUCGGUUCUUUCGAAUAGUUCGCUUUAACAAUUAUUCUUUAACGUCAAAAUCAAUGUCAUAAUUACAUCCAGACGCACAUGCUCGAAAAGACUACGAUAAAGUCAUGGUGCAUUUUAAACCUGCAGUAGUUCCAAAAGGAAGAACCUCUUUCAUUCCUUGAGAAACUGACAUCAAAAAUGCAUCCUUCUUUAUCAUCCCCUCCAACCACCUGGAUUCAUUCUGACUUCUCUUCGAUGCUGGACUUCUCCAAUCAUUUAGUCUGCUUAAACUCCCCUUCUGAAAAUCAACUAUUUCUCAAAUCCCUGGCCUCCCAGCUCAACCACGCAGGACCCAUGAAUGACGCGUGUCACUGUUCAACACAGGCUCUCUUGUAAACACAACACCCGCAACACAUGUAUCAAGUGGCCGAUCGUUUCGGUUUCACCGCGAUCAAAAUUUGCUUCGGGCUGGGUGAACCUCUCGCCGCUACCUCAAAGUAUCAUAUGCAAACUGUGUGCGUUUGUUAUGGAGCUCUGGCAGCGACUGAUGAGUGUCUCAUUAUCUCCACACCAGCCGUACACAGUAAGAAGAGCAUAAUCAAAGCCUGGGGGAUAUUUCAAUUUGAUGCUCAACAAGCUGAGCCUGAGAUUAAAGGAUCAUACGUGUCAUCCACACAAACAUCACUUCCAGAGCAGGCAAGCGUACGUGAGCUCAGCUUCUCCAAGAGAGAGGCAUCACAUCACCGCCACAGACGACGGAGUCGCACUUCUGUCUCCCCGCGUGUGAGGGUGUCUGUGUCCUCUGCGUGUUCGCGAGUGAAGGCUGAUGCGAUGCCUAUCACAUGUUUGAGAUGUCGAGGAAGGAGACUUUUCUUUUCGCUCUGUGUGUGUGUGUGUAUGCGUGUGACGAAAUUUGCUUUUAAGAAAUAUUUAUGAGCCUGUGCCCUUUAAAAAAAAGUAAAAAGAAAGCGUCUUUAAUGAACAUGUUUUAGAGAUUGUUUCAGCAUCUAUAAUUUAUAAGGUAAGACUUCAUCUGUGAACAGGGCUAGUUUGUAAAUGUGAAUACUUAAUAAUAAUGAAAAAAAAAAAACAUCUCAGACAGCUGCUGUACUGGCAUAAUAUGACACUUCUGCAGUAGACCGCUAAUCUCGGUAGAAGGCUGGUGUGUGUGUGUGUGUGGGG
ensembl:lncRNA